GACGCGUAGAUGGUGACACGGGCGCAGGGCGCGUACUCGGAAGGAGGCAACCGUCAGCCUUCUCGGGAUGGGGCCGCCGAUCGGUCAGAGGCACCCUCAGGUGUUCAGAGCUGACACGGGCACAGGUACCUACUCCUAAUCAGAACCCCAGCGCCCCACCAAAGCACCCCCCCCACACACACACACACAGCACCCAAGGACGGAGGCCUGGGGGAGAGAGCAUGAAUGGCCAAGUGCCCUAGAGCUCGCUCAGUAACCUGACUCAAUUCAUGUUUACAUCCACAGACUGACCUGCCUCCUCUUCUCAGAAACCUAGACCACACCAAGAUAGACAAUGCGGACAUCAGGGCACUUUCUGAAGUCCGAAGAAAGCAAUCAGCACCUUGCUGUGGUUGAGACAGUCGUCUGGCAGAGAGGAAACCACCACGUGGGAUCUGAAGUGGGGAGCACUACCUCAGAAACCUCUGCCUGGAUCUUCCUAGAAAGGAAUCCGAGUUGUACACUGGGGAGUCUUUGAAAGGACAUGUGAGCUGACCAGCUCCACAAGCCCCCAGGUGGGCAGCUCCCGCAGGCCAAGCUGUGCCAGCCCUGAUAGUGCCCCGCUGAAACUCUGCUCUCAAAGGUAGGUGCCUUGACAGAAAGAUGAGCCACACCAGCUCACGGAGGAAACCAGACAUCUGCUAGUUUGCUUAGAGGGUAUUCUGGGAGACAGAGUGGAGCCCGUUUAGCUUCUGCUUCUCCACUGAGGAUUGCGUGGCCCAGAAAGCAGCAAGGAGUUAUCUUAUUAGCUUGCGUUAAUACAUUGAUCUGGCUCCUCUAUUCUCAGAAACCCUGGAUCCCAGACUCUAGAUAAAGCACACAAUAUCAGGUUAGUUUCGGAAGUCCAGAGAAACACAUAACAAAAUAACUCAAUGCCCAGGGCCAAAGGACUCUCGAGGCAGGACUGAAACUAAGAUGAGGUGCCCAGGAUGCAAAAUUUAAGGAGGAGCCGGGGUUUGGCUCCUGUGAGGCGGUCCUCACUUGGUUCUGGCCCCACUUUGGGGCAUCUUUCCUACAAUUGCUGCGCAGGACCAUCAUGGGCCUUUCCCAGAGGUGACAGUGCAGAUAGCCACAUGGAAAACCGUAAUGGGUUACUUAAGGGAUAUAGCUCAAUAAAAGCAGGGGGGCUGGGGAGGGGGGCAGGGGGGCCUUUCAAAUGUCUGCUUGCCAUUUGGCUUUCAGGGUAUGUCAUAAAAAUGCUGAAAGAAAGGGAAGCAAGGAAACAGCUUUGCCUGCGUCUUUAGCUGCUCGAACGUGUAUUUUUAAUACAACUGAUUUUUCCCUCCAUGUACUCGUGUGGGGUGUGUGUGUGUGUGUGUAUGCAUGAAUAUUGCUGGUGAGCCCCAGGGUCAUUUUCUGAUGGAUGGAUGGGAAGUCAAAGACCUUUUUUAGAGGUGGCAAAUAAAAUAUUUUUAUUAUUCUUUA